AGUUACCCGCCCUGUUCUUUCUUCCACGUCGAUUAUCUGCGAGUGUAGUUGGCUGUUACGUGGAAUUGCUGACUGCGUUUGUGGAAAUUCAUACAUUAUGUUCCCCAGCAUUGGUUCGCAAGGAAACUAUCUGGACAAAAAGGAAACAGACAAGGCAACUACUGAGCCAGGCUCCAUGAAGUGACUAUACUGGCAGAGGCAAAGACUGAGGGAGGAAGUUCACAAGUGGCCUGCAUGCACUGUGGGAAACUUCAGAUGGUGCAGUUGUAACUCUGGUGGUCAGCGGCUUCUAGCUGCCAGGACACAGUCAGAUCCUGGGAGCAAGAAGUGCAGUCUCUGAUACUGUGUUGCAUUGAUGUGCAGCAGACAGCAGCUAUAUAGAGGAGUGAUUGUAAUUGCAGAGUAGAAGGCUGAGGGAGGCGGUUUCAUGAACGACUGCGUGCACUGCUAAAAUCUUCAGCUGGUGCAGACGUGACUGGUUGUUGUCCGCCUGGAGCUGGAGCUGCCAGCACACAGCCAGACCUAGGCAGUGAUGAGCCCAGUGUUUGUCGCCAUGUUGCGUUUCUCGCAUGUCAUUUCGUAACAUGGCGGCAAACACUGGGCUUCUUACUGACGUGUUGCAAAUCGCCGUGCGAGAAGUGUGCAUCUACUAGAUAGAGGUAAGAGACAUAUGAGAAGUUCUCUUACAAUAAGUGUGAAACAGUUUCUUUCCUUGCCAUUCCCUGCAUCAUGCUUGGGUGACAAUGUGAACUUAAAAAGUCCCAAAGACAGUUCUUGGAGUAGAUAGGAAAAAUGCUGAAGUAAAAUAAUUACAGCUUCUUGGCAGUUUAUUAAUUCAAAAUGUGUACUGUGAUGCCAGAUAAUUCUUCCUGAUGAUUACUCAGUAUUCAUACAGGCAACACAAAAUUACUCUCUUCAGUAGUAGUUCACCAGUACAUCUAACAUAGUAUCUAUACAUCUAAGAAACCUGUCAGGACUGUAGAAGCAGUUCUUAACCGUUUUCUUUUUUACAACUGCACCCUUUGGUGAUAAUUAAAAAAUUCAUGUGUUUUAAUAGUUAUAGAUAAAUGGUAAUGUCAAAGAUAAUUUAAGAACCUAAAUAUUUUAGUCAGUCACACUAUUAUUUAGGGCUAAUAAAUCUUUGUAGAAAAUGAUUGUAUUGUUUUUUU